rnacentral:lncRNA from 1 species
GUAAUGGUGCUGAGAAUCAUGCCUUGAAAUCUAGCAGCUGUGUUAAAAACGGAGCAAGGUGUACUUCGGGGUUAUGUUGAGAAGGCUGGUGUUCAGCUAAAUCAGGAGGGAAGGCCAAGGAAAAUCAGGCUUGGCACCUGUCAACAGACAAUAUGAUGGUCAUGAAGUCUCUGUCAGAGAGGAAAGAGGGAGUUAAUCUAUAAUGAAGAUCAACAGUGAAGAGGAAAGGGGUCUUCCCUGGAACCCUUCAGUCAUAUACGACAUUUUACACAACAAUAAUGGACCUGUGUAAGGAGAUAUGUGUGGGAGAAGAUUCCAGAAGGUCUUGAGACACUCCAGAUGAAGGUUGGUGUGGGGCUGUGCUGCUGGAGCACCAGAGAGUGAAAAGAGGGUAUCUCCCUCUGUGCUAGGCCAGAGUGCAGUGGUGCAAUCAUGGCUCACUGUAGUCUCAACCUCCUGGGUUCAAGAGAUCCUCCCACUUCAGCCUCCCAAGUAGCUAGGACUACAGGCACAUGUCAUCAUAUCUGGC